AUAAUGAAAACUGGAUCUAGGGAUAUCAAGCCUCCUAAUAAUAGAUUUGAAUGCAGUAAAUAUCUUAGAGAUGUCAGAGAAGAUAUUGAAGAAAAAUCGACUUGGUUCAUUUCUUAAUUCAGAAGAAGCUACUGUAUAUUUACGAUGAAACCUAUUCUAUAUUUUCUGUUUAAAAUUUAAAAUCCCAUUUUGUAGUUUUUAUAUUUGAU